AUUGAACGCUGGCGGCAUGCCUUACACAUGCAAGUCGAACGGCAGCACGGGUGCUUGCACCUGGUGGCGAGUGGCGAACGGGUGAGUAAUACAUCGGAACAUGUCCUGUAGUGGGGGAUAGCCCGGCGAAAGCCGGAUUAAUACCGCAUACGAUCUACGGAUGAAAGCGGGGGACCUUCGGGCCUCGCGCUAUAGGGUUGGCCGAUAGCUGAUUAGCUAGUUGGUGGGGUAAAGGCCUACCAAGGCGACGAUCAGUAGCUGGUCUGAGAGGACGACCAGCCACACUGGGACUGAGACACGGCCCAGACUCCUACGGGAGGCAGCAGUGGGGAAUUUUGGACAAUGGGCGAAAGCCUGAUCCAGCAAUGCCGCGUGUGUGAAGAAGGCCUUCGGGUUGUAAAGCACUUUUGUCCGGAAAGAAAUCCUUGGCUCUAACACAGUCGGGGGAUGACGGUACCGGAAGAAUAAGCACCGGCUAAUUACGUG
rnacentral:rRNA from 1 species